UACGUAGGGGGCUAGCGUUAUCCGGAAUUACUGGGCGUAAAGGGUGCGUAGGUGGUUUCUUAAGUCAGAGGUGACAGGCUACGGCUCAACCGUAGUAAGCCUUUGAAACUGGGAAACUUGAGUGCAGGAGAGGAGAGUGGAAUUCCUAGUGUAGCGGUGAAAUGCGUAGAUAUUAGGAGGAACACCAGUUGCGAAGGCGGCUCUCUGGACUGUAACUGACACUGAGGCACGAAAGCGUGGGGAGCAAACAGGAUUAGAUACCCUGGUAGUCCCUGA
rnacentral:rRNA from 1 species